rnacentral:rRNA from 1 species
AUUGAACGCUGGCGGCAGGCUUAACACAUGCAAGUCGAGCGGAGAGAGGUAGCUUGCUACUGAUCUUAGCGGCGGACGGGUGAGUAAUGCUUAGGAAUCUGCCUAUUAGUGGGGGACAACAUUUCGAAAGGAAUGCUAAUACCGCAUACGUCCUACGGGAGAAAGCAGGGGAUCUUCGGACCUUGCGCUAAUAGAUGAGCCUAAGUCGGAUUAGCUAGUUGGUGGGGUAAAGGCCUACCAAGGCGACGAUCUGUAGCGGGUCUGAGAGGAUGAUCCGCCAAACUGGGGCUGAGACACGGCCCAGACUCCUACGGGAGGCAGAAGUGGGGAAUAUUGGACAAUGGGCGGAAGCCUGAUCCAGCCAUGCCGCGUGUGUGAAGAAGGCCUUAUGGUUGUAAAGCACUUUAAGCGAGGAGGAGGCUACUUUAGUUAAUACCUAGAGAUAGUGGACGUUACUCGCAGAAUAAGCACCGGCUAACUCUGUGCCAGCAGCCGCCGUAA